ensembl:lncRNA B4GALT1-AS1 B4GALT1 antisense RNA 1
GGAGGACUGCCCGAUGGCGGCGGCACUGUUCGAGCCGCCCUGCAGCGGUGUGGAGACUCCGACCAGUUGGGGCAGGCGGCUCAGGUCGCGGCCAGCCAGGGGUUGGGAAACUAGUUUCCAUGGCCAAACCUAGCCCACCGUCUGUUUUGGUGUCCAUGGAUUGGCGGGGACAGCUCUGCUUAAGGAUGUAGUAGCUCUGCAGGUUGGCUAGUUUCCUGUUCUUCCCAACCUGCGCUAUGGACUUCAUCAGAUUUCAGCAUCAGAGAGAAUAUGGAAGGACAUCGACCCUAACUUCAUCCAGUGAGGAUUUCCACACACCAUACACUCUCUGAGAGUUCUCUUGGCUUUGUGUGCACACCUCCAGUGACAGGGAGCUCGCUAUGUCAUGAGGCAGCCUGCUCCCUUGUGGCUAUCACUGAACCAACUAUUAAGCCUUCUUAUACAAACAGUCCCUGACUUACUGUUAGACUUACAACUUUUUGAUUUUACAGUGGUGCAAAAGCAAUAUGCAUUCCAUAGAAACUGUAUUUCAAAUUUUGAAUUUUGAUCUUUUCCAGGCUAGCAACAUAUGAAGACCAACCUUCUAUUUUUAAAAUAGGCUUUGUGUUAGAUGCUUUUGCCCAACUAUAGGUUAAUGUAAAUGUUCUGAGAAUAUUUGAGGAAGGCUAGGCUAAACUGUGAUCUUUGGGAGCUUAGAUAUGUUAAGUGCAUUUUCAACUUACAAUAUUUUCAACUUACGAUGAGUUUAUUGGGAUGAAGCCCGUUGUAAGUAAAGGAGCAUCUGCAUUAAGCUAAAAUCCAUGUCUAUAACUUCCUCAGUAAUAUCAAGUUUGUUCCUUGGAGCCAGAGAAUAAACUGAAUCCUUUUCCACGUGAUGGUCUUUCUGUUGUUUAAAGAGAUCAGCCAUGUACCUUCUCCCAACCUGAAGACAACUCCUCACCAGGCUACCUAUCAAUUCUACCUCUUUUUUUAAGAGAUGGGGUCUCACUAUGUUGCCCAGCCUGGUCUUGAACUCUGGGCUCAAGUGAUCCUCCCACCUCAGCCUUCCGAGUAGCCAGGAUUACAGGCACACACCACCAUGCCCAGCUCCAUUUCCAUUGUUCUUCAUGCUUCCUUAUUGAGUUCCUUCCCUGUCCCGAUUAUUCGUCUUUGAUUGGGCUUUGACUACCUGGGCAUUUAGUAGGGUCCAUAACUGAAUGCAGCAUUCCAGCCGGGGUCUAAGCAACAGAAUAGAGCAGGACCAUCAUCUCCGCAAUUUCCAAUAUCAUACUUUCAUCAAUGUCUUCCGAAACAACAUUCACUUUUUUAUGUUCAUGUUAAACUAAAAGACAGGGCUGAAGGCAGCAUCCUGGAACAGUGGAAACAUUCCUAUAAGUUGACUUGAAUCCUUUAAAUAAAGUCCAUGUACCAACCAGAGUUUUUGACUAUUAAAACAGUCAAUUAUAACACUGCUCUGCCGUGGCCACCAUUGCCCAUGAUUAUUUAACACCACUGCUACAGGACCGUUCAUGCUGCUGCUGCCUCCAUGAAUAAUUUCGACACCAUUCCUGCCUCUUAGCGUCACUCCUAAGAAUUCAGAGUCUGCAGUGGGAAUGACCGAGCCAAUUCACAUGCUUGAGCCCUAGCUGCUAGGUAGGGGAGGAACGAAUCUUCCCCUUUCUGCCUCCAUGGUGGGAGCUAGGGCAUUGAGCCCUCCAGUACUAUAUACACUGGAAAAUUUUCCAAAAUAAGAUGGGGGAUUGCCUGUUGAGUGACAAGUAUAAUGGCAAAGGUUCAUUCCAGUCAUUUAAAAAAGUUCAAUUUCCCUUUAAUUGUACUAUCAUCCAACCCAUAUUUUCCUUUUUAGUCACAGGAAUAACAUGCCAUAGAUUGUUAAAGGCCGACCCAGUUUGCCAACAGACUAUCAAAUGCAGCACUGUGAUCUGGCAGUUUAGGGACCUGUUAAAAAAAGAAAUGUGAUAGUCUUUGCUCUGGCUUGUUCUGAGAAAUCUCCACUUCCUUUACAUCUUUAAAAGUCUAUCCUUGGCCAGGCACAAUGGCUCACGCCUGUAAUCUCAGCACUUCAAGAGGCUGAGGCAGGAGCAUUGCUUGAGCCCAGGAGUUCAAGAUUAGCCUGGGCAACAUAGUGAGACCUUGUCUCUAUUAAAAAUAAAAAAAAUUAGCCAGGCGUGGUGGUGGUAUGUGUCUGUAGUCACAACUACUCAUGAGGCUGAGGUGAGAGGAUUGCCUAAGCCCAGGAGGUUGAGGUGGCAGUGAGAUGUGAUUGCACCACUGCAUUCCAGCCUGGGCAACAGAGCAAGACCCUGUCUUACACACACACACACACACACACACACACACACACACAAACUAUUCUUAGAUAAGAGUGUAGUUUGCAGAAUCAACGUCUUCCUGUAAUGGACAGGUAUUGAUUUUUUGUGCCUCCUCUUCAACAUUACUCCUUCUGUUAGAGACUCCCACUCUUCCCUAUGUGGUUGGGACAGGCUAACUACGGGGUCGCUAUGGCCUGGGUGACUUAUAUCUGGCCAAUCAGAGCACUAUACCCCUCUGGCCACAGUUGAUUUGUUCAAGGAUCAACAUGUGGCCCAAGAAGGACUAAUGAGCAAUGUCCCUUCUUCUCCCAGGACUUCUGCUGCAAAUGUUGAGUAAAAGGCUUUUCCUUUCCUCUGGAAUGGCCAGUCUGGAGUAGCAAGGGUGCUGUAUUAGUUUCCAAGGACUCCUCUAACAAAUUAUCCAGACUUGGUGGCUUCAAACAACAGAAAUUGAUUCUCUUACAGUUCUGGAGGCUAAAAGUCCAAAAUAUCAAGGUGUCAGCAGGGACAGGCUUCUUCUUCUUUUUCUUUUCUUUCUUUUUUUUUUUUUUUAGAUAGGGUUUCACUCUGUCACCCUUCCUAGUAGCUGGGACCACAGGCAUAUGCCACCAUGCCCAGCUAAUUUAAAAAAAUUUUUUUUUGUGGAGACAAGGUCUCACUCUGUUGCCCAGGCUGGAUACGCUCCUUCUGAAAACUCUAAGAAAGAAUUCUUUCUUGCCUCUUCUAGCUUCUGGUGGCUCGCAGCCAUCCUUGGCAUUCCUUGGCUUGUAGCAGCAUCAUUCUAUUCUCUGCCCUCAUCUUCACAUGGCCUUCUCUCUGCCUAUGAUUUUCUCCUGUUGAUGUGUCCUCUCCUCUUAUAAGGAAACCAGUCAUUGGACUUGGGCUCACCCUAAUCCAGUAUGACCCCAUCUUGGCUUAACUAAUUGCAUCUGCAAAGACUAUUUCCAAAUAAGCUCAAUUCUGAGGUUUCGGAUAGAAAUGAAUUUUGGAGGUACGCUGUCCAUCUCAUUACAGCCAUUAUAUGGAAAGAGCCUAUCUGAGAAAUAAGCCAAAAAGGAAGCUAGAGGGUUACGCCCUGGUAUGCUGUAUCAGACUCCCCCUGGACUGACCAGUUAUGUAACCUGGUGAAUUACUCCUCCCUUUUUUCCCCCCAUAAGCUGAUUUGAAGUAACAGAAGGAAACUGAUUACCACUCCUCCUUUUGCAAAAUUAAAAAAUCAUUUACACAGGACUAAUGUUCCAAACUUCUCCCCGCUAUAUUCAUCCUCCAAAAGUCUCUGACAAGGAUUGAGCAAUUUCAUUUGGAAAUUCUCUUAGUGCCUUGGAUUUACUUCAUUUGGCUAGGAAACUAACUUAUUUUGACAAGCGAGAUGAUCUCUUACAAUGUCUUCAGCCAUUCCUUAUAAUUUUUAUUGUGGAAAAUUUUAAAAAUAUACAAAAA